UACGUAGGGGGCGAGCGUUGUCCGGAAUUACUGGGCGUAAAGGGCGCGCAGGCGGCCGUGUAAGUCCGCUGUGAAAGACCGGGGCUCAACCCCGGGGUGUCAGCGGGGACUGCACGGCUGGAGUCCCGGAGGGGGAGGCGGAAUACCUGGUGUAGCGGUGGAAUGCGCAGAUAUCGGGAAGAACACCCGUGGCGAAGGCGGCUCUCUGGGACGGUACUGACGCUGAGACGCGAAAGCGUGGGGAGCGAACAGG
rnacentral:rRNA from 1 species